GACGAACGCUGGCGGCGUGCUUAACACAUGCAAGUCGAACGCUGAAGCUCAGCUUUUGUUGGGUGGAUGAGUGGCGAACGGGUGAGUAACACGUGAGUAACCUGCCUCCUCCUUUGGGAUAACGCCCGGAAACGGGUUCUAAUACUGGAUAUUCACUGGUCUUCGCAUGGGGGUUGGUGGAAAGGGUUUUUCUUGUGGGGGAUGGGCUCGCGGCCUAUCAGCUGGUUGGUGGGGUGAUGGCCUACCAAGGCUUUGACGGGUGGCCGGCCUGGGAGGGUGACUGGUAGGAUGGGGAGUGAGAUACGGACCAGGCUCCUGCGGGAGGCAGCAGUGGAGACAAUUGCGCGAAGGACGCAAGCAUGAUGCAGCGACGGAGCGAGAGAGGUCGAGUCCGUGAGGUUGUGAACCUCUUUGGAUCACGCUCAAGCCGCAAAAAUGGUUAUAGUGAGGGUAGUGGGUAAAGAAGCGCCGGCUAACUACGUG
rnacentral:rRNA from 1 species